GACGAACGCUGGCGGCGUGCUUAACACAUGCAAGUCGAGCGGUAAGGCCCUUUCGGGGGUACACGAGCGGCGAACGGGUGAGUAACACGUGGGUGACCUGCCCUUAGCUCUGGGAUAAGCCUGGGAAACUGGGUCUAAUACCGGAUAUGACUCCAUGACGCAUGUUGUGGGGUGGAAAGCCUUGUGCGGCUAGGGAUGGGCCCGCGGCCUAUCAGCUUGUUGGUGGGGUGAUGGCCUACCAAGGCGACGACGGGUAGCCGGCCUGAGAGGGCGACCGGCCACACUGGGACUGAGACACGGCCCAGACU
rnacentral:rRNA from 1 species